rnacentral:rRNA from 1 species
CCCUUAGAUGUUCUGGGCCGCACGCGCGCUACACUGAUGCAUUCAACAAGCCUAGCCUUGACCGAGAGGUCCGGGUAAUCUUUGAAACUGCAUCGUGAUGGGGCUAGAUUAUUGCAAUUAUUAAUCUUCAACGAGGAAUGCCUAGUAAGCGUGAUUCAUCAAAUCGCGUUGAUUACGUCCCUGCCCUUUGUACACACCGCCCGUCGCUCCUACCGAUUGAAUGUGUUGGUGAGGAGCUCGGAUUGGCAGCAGUUGGUGGUUCGCUACCGGCUAUUGCUGAGAAGUCCUCCAAACCGCCCCAUUUAGAGGAAGGAGAAGUCGUAACA